GUCCACGCCGUAAACGUUGGGCACUAGGUGUUGCGGGUAUUGACCCCUGCAGUGCCGAAGCUAACGCAUUAAGUGCCCCGCCUGGGGAGUACGGUCGCAAGGCUAAAACUCAAAGGAAUUGACGGGGCCCGCACAAGCGGUGGAGUAUGUGGUUCAAUUCGACGCAACGCGAAGAACCUUACCUGGGUUUGACAUCCCGAGAAUCCUGUAGAAAUACGGGAGUGCCUCUUUGAGGAGCUCGGUGACAGGUGCUGCAUGGCUGUCGU
rnacentral:rRNA from 1 species